UACAGAGGUCUCAAGCGUUGUUCGGAUUCAUUGGGCGUAAAGGGUGCGUAGGCGGCGCGGUAAGUCGGGUGUGAAAUCUUGGAGCUUAACUCCGAAACUGCAUUCGAUACUGCCGUGCUUGAGGACUGGAGAGGAGACUGGAAUUUACGGUGUAGCGGUGAAAUGCGUAGAUAUCGUCAAGAACACCUAUAGCGAAGGCAGCUUACUAGGCUGUAACUGACGCUGAGGCACGAAAGUGUGGGGAUCAAACAGG
rnacentral:rRNA from 1 species